UAAGGAAUCUUCCACAAUGGACGAAAGUCUGAUGGAGCAACACCGCGUGGUUGAUGAAGCCCUUCGGGGUGUAAAGACCUUUUCUGGGAGAAGAAUUCUGACGGUAUCCUAGGAAUAAGCACCGGCUAACUCCGUGCCAGCAGCCGCGGUAAUACGGAGGGUGCAAGCGUUAUCCGGAAUCAUUGGGCGUAAAGCGUCCGCAGGCGGUUUGUUAAGUGGGGUGUUAAAUUUUGCAGCUCAACUGCAAAACUACAUCCAAAACUGGCAAACUAGAGUACUUCAGAGGUACGUGGAAUUCUGUGUGUAGGGGUAAAAUCCGUAGAUAUACAGAGGAAUACCAAAAGCGAAGGCAGCGUACUGGGAAGUCACUGACGCUCAGGGACGAAAGCGUGGGUAGCGAACG
rnacentral:rRNA from 1 species